GACGAACCGUGCGAACGUUGUUCGGAAUCACUGGCUUAAAGGGCGCGUAGGCGGACCAUCAAGUCAGGAGUGAAAUUCCCCCGGCUCAACCCGGGGAAGUGCUUUUGAUACUGGUGGUCUCGAGUGGGUGAGGGCGUGCGGAACUUCCGGUGGAGCGGUGAAAUGCGUAGAGAUCGGAAGGAACGCCGGUGGCGAAAGCGGCACGCUGGACCCUUUCUGACGGCUGAGGCGCGAAAGCCAGGGGAGCAAACGGG
rnacentral:rRNA from 1 species